UGCUUGCGUGCGCGCUCGCUCUCUCUCUCUCUCUCUCUCUCUCUCUCUCUUUUUCUCACAUAUAUAUAUAAUAUAUAUAUCCCCAAAUAGUGACAGAAGAGUUUCCAGGCUACCAGGGCUGUCCCUAGGGAGGUGUGGGGCCCGGGACAUAGGUGCGAGUUGCUGUCUGCUGGGGGGAACUCCCCCCAGUUCUGCCCAGGUCCUGCCCCCACUCCACCCAUUCCCCAAGGCCCCUGCCCCGUCUCUUCCCCGCCCAGUUCCACCCCCUCCACCGAGCAUGCUGCACCCUUGCUCCCUCCCCCCCAGUGCCUCCUAAUGCCGCGAAACAGUUGAUCAGCUGUAGGCACCGGGAGGAAGGGGAAGGGCUGAUCAGUGGGGCCUGUCGGCAGGCCGGAGGUGCUGGGGAGAGUGGGAGGUUGGUAGGGGUGGCUCCUUCCUGCCUGCCUCCCCUCCCGCUUCCUCGGGAAGCACGGGGACCCCCAAAGCGCAGAGCUCGGGGCGGUUGCCCACAUUCGUCAUACCCUAGGGAUAGCUUUGCAGGCUACCACUGAUCACUGUGGCCUCUCCUGAAAAUGGGGAAAUAUACAUCCUCUUGUCGUUGCCCCUGCACUGAAUUUUGCUGCUGCAGUUUUGUUCAAACUACCUUACACCUCUAGGACACUCAUCAUAUUGCACCAUAUUUCUGAAAACCCAGAGCAUCCAAGAUUUGGCUGUGGGAUUUCAGAAGUACAAUGUAGUUUAGGGCAUAAAUACCUGGGGUAAAAUGUACAUCUCUGACUCUCCCCUACCACAGAUGCAGGGCCGGCUCUAGGCACCAGCUAAGGAAGCUGGUGCCUAGGGCAGCAAAUCAGAAGGGGCGGCACUUCAGCCAUUCUUGGAGUGGCAAUACUUCCUCAGCGGCACUUCUGCGGCAACUGUUCGGGUUUUUUUUGUUUGUUUGUUUUUUGCUUCACUGCUUGGGGCGGCAAAAAAUGUAGAUCUGGCACUGCACAGAUGGGGAGGAAUGGACAACAAAGCUAAUUUUAGGUGUUCAGUGUUGAUGAUUUUUUGCCCCAGACAGAUAUCUGGGCAUUUCCAAUACUGUUAUUUUAGGUGAAUAUUCACACCAUCCCUAACCAUAAGAGAUUGUGUAUGUAGAUUUAUGCUACAUGAUCCAAACAGAUGAUCCCUGCUGAGUGCGCCAAAGGAAGGCCGGAUGUCCAAAGUCCCUCCCACUGUGCCAUGAAGGAAAUUGCUUCCCAAGUCCAAGCAAAAAAUCACAACAGUUAUGCAUUUUCUAUCCAGACUCACUAGCACAUUUUCAUGGAUAGAUUUGACAAUUAUUGCAGAACUAAAUUGUACUAAAAACUCUCAUCUUCUAACCAGUUCAAGAUUAAAUAAGUUAGUUUCGCAUGUGAAAUAUAAGAAUUUAUUUACCCUUAAAAAUUGGGAGUAUCUGGAGAUGUAUGCUAAUUUUAUAUCAGAUUAUUUUUAAUAGUUUAUUCAGGUAUUCCAGUUUCAAAGCAACGAGCAUAGUGUACAACUUUCUACAUUAAAGUAAGAUUACCUAAAUAUUAGAGAGCAGAGGUGGGGUUAAAAUUGUUUUACAUUUAACUCUAAUAAAAGUUCAAACCAUUUUUGUAUAGUUUUUUUAUUAUGAGCAAACUGGUUUAAUGUAUGCAUUUGUCACUGAUUUCAGAAGGACAUUUAAACGAGUAGUUAUAAAAAGAAUACUGAAGGAAAUAUAUCAGAAGGAUUUUGAUUUCUGUAAACCAAAGUCAGCUCAAGUACUCAGAACAGCAAACCUCUUGAAAACCCAAGAAAAUGUCUUUUAAUUCAUAAGAAAUCAUAUAUUUAAAAAUUUUAAAAUCAAACAAAUCAUUUUAGGAUUUUAUGUUAUAAACUCAGCUAUUGCUAAAAUAUAUUACGGAUGAUAAUGUAGUCCUAUAAAGAGUGAAAAUUCAAAACGAUAAAACUAUGUAAACUAAAUUUUGUAUGGAUAAUUGUACUGCUAUGUAAGAUGUUUUAUUCCCAUUUUUUUAAAAAAAGACUAAAAUUCCAAAGCAUAAAUUGUGCUAUUUAUGUUCAUUAAAUGUAGUUUGAGUCUUAUCUCAGGGACAUCUUACCUAACUAUAUAUCUAAUGUUGUUCAGUAAAUGAGGAGAGUAUUGAUUGGCAUAUGCUGCUUAAAUCGAUCAUCCUGACAGCCAGAAUUACAGUAAUCUGUCAGUAUUGAUGACUGUCUUUCAAGCUUUGAUAGCCUCUCCCUCGCUUAUCAUGUCUUGCCUUACUUGUAUUUGAAGUGCAUUUUCUUGCAACCUCUAGUUUUGUCAGGGCAGGUACUUGAUAGUGUUUUUUGUCCCUUGAGUCCAAUUUAUUGGCUUGAUCAUGCAAUUAGCGUUAAAAUGCAACACUGGGGAGCAAGAUUAGGCAGUGUUCUGAGUAACAACUGGACCUUAAGGGUAGUACAAGCUUGUUCUCAGACAUCAUCUAUUAGUAACCUGUUGAAAGGAUAGAAUUUUUUUGCAAUGAAUAAUUCCAGAGCAUCACUUUAAAUGCCUUGAUUUUAACCACUAGAGACCACUGAUUGAACCAGCAUUUGUGAUUGUUUUUUAAACUCUUAUCUUGGUGUUUGUCACAUAAACACUUCAAAUAACUGCAAUAGCUGUGUUGGGGAUGUGUGUAUCAAGCAUAUGUGUAUUUUUGUAAGGACACAUAAGUACUUUACUUCACUUUCUUCAUUGCGUAUUUCUUUCUUCAGAACAAAGGAUAUUAGAAUGGUAACAGUAAGUGAAAUUAUCAAAAGCUAAAAAUUCUGCCCCUCCCCAAACUCAAAAAUGCUGACUUUUUUUCACAAGCUUUUGUUUCUUUUCAUUAGCUAGAUCAGUAUUAGUUUAGUAUAACAAUUUUAGCAUCAAAAACACAGGUUGUCAAUAAUUGUUGCUGAAUUAGUAACACAGCUUUGUUAUCAAUUCUUCUGUUAUCCAGUUUCAGGAGACAUGUUGGAAAGAGAUGAAAGAGCCAAAUAUAAAUGAGGCAAAAGUGACCUGUCUGUGCUAGCAUAAUUUGCCGCUCAUAAAGCUGUAUUAUGAAACUCUUUCAAGGUGGGCUGCUGGCAUCACUGGUCACUUUCUAUUACAGAAAAAAAUAUUUCAGAGCCACAUACUUUUUCAUAUCGUUGAUAGAGUGUUGUACUGUAGAUUGUUCUUGUCUCAAUUUUUGUAUGGAUUGACUUUGCCCCCCUACAAAAUGAAAUGAAUAUUUCAGUUCAUUCCCAUAUCUACCUGCCUAUAUCUGAUAUAUAUUAUUCAACACACAGAAUUCCUUCAAUGUAUUUACUGUUUUAUGUCAGGAGAAUUUCUGUUUAAACAGAAUUUCUGUGGCGUGCCCUGAAAAGCAGUAAGGUAGUUCUGAAUCCUAUUGUUCUCUGGGACCCCCAUACAAGUUCUGGAAUUAUAACUGCAUAUAUAGGCUUAAUAGUGAGGAGUUAGUGCUUGCCUUGGAGAGGUCUCAUUUAUACCUGUUAGUCUCUCACUCCUGUUUUAAAGCCUGAAAUUUAAAUAUACUGUUCUUGAACUCGGUGGCGUAAUCAAUAUUUAAUUACACCAUUGUAAAAUAUACUUGAAAUGGUUUUAUAAAAACAAAUAUGGGAUUUUCUCUUGCUGUAAGACAAGAUGACUAAUUCAAUCUUAUGAAGUAUGAUCUCAUCAUAGCUAGCAGGAAAUUACAGUUUUUGUUGAUACCUGUUUAACCUCAUUAAUUUAACGUUUUGGGGUAACAAAAGCCUUCUGUUUCAAGUUUUAACAUUCUUGUCCUUUUUAAAUGUUAUAGCUUGUACAAACAUCCCUGAUGCCUCCCAGAAGUUCUCCAACAAAACCGGGGAAAACUAGACUUGAUAUUCCUGAUAUUUUUAAGGUUUAAAACAAACCCAAUCAGAAUGUAAAAAUAAAAAAAUGAAAAAAAAAAAAAGAGGCCUUCUUUUACACAUCAUAGAGAAGCAAAAAACAGUAUAAAUAUUGAUUUAAUCCUUUGCAGGUCAUCUUCAUCAGCAAUAAUAGAUGUGGACUUCACAUACAAUUCAAAUAUGGAUUAAUAUGGAGUCCGAGAAGAUGGCCAGGGCCAAGGCAAGAAUGAGCGGGGCCGGGAUCCAGCAGCAGCCCCAACCGCCAGCGUCGGGAGUGUUGGUGGCGGGAGAUGAGUCCUCGGACAGUGAGGGGGGAGCAUGAGGGCCCCCAGAAACUCGUCCAGAAAGUGUCCACCACAGGCCAUAUCUGCUGCAAGCACAAUCAGGCCUGCUGGAACAAGAAACCUGGAGAGGGUUCUUCUAAAGCAACAACACUUCAAGAUACUGGUCUCCAGUCAAUAAUAUCAGAGAGGGAGAAUGUGGUGAAAAGGAAGUACGGUAUUUUGCUGUCAGUGCCCUCCGACACUCUGUUAGCCAGUAUUUAGGGGUCCUGCAGAUUCUUUACAAAUAUGUCUGCUUUUUUUAAUGGCAUAAUUGACUAUGUAUUUUUUUUCUGAUACUCAUUUUAAGCUAUGUAUUUAUCUUAACUACAUGAAUUUGUUUAGGGAUUAUGGAAACAGUUAUUUUUCACUGAAAAUAACUAGGAUU